AACGUAGGUUCCGAGCGUUAUCCGGAUUUACUGGGCGUAAAGCGCGUUCAGGCGGUUCGGCAAGUCGGGCAUGAAAUCUCUCGGCUCAACCGGGAGAGGUUGUCCGAUACUGCUGGACUUGAGGGCAGUAGAGGGUGGUGGAAUUCCGGGUGUAGUGGUGAAAUGCGUAGAUAUCCGGAGGAACACCAGUGGCGAAGGCGGCUCACUGGCCCGGUACUGACGCUGAGGUGCGAAAGCGUGGGGAGCAAACAGG
rnacentral:rRNA from 1 species